rnacentral:tRNA from 1 species
GCCUCGGUAGCUCAGUAGGAUAGAGUGGUCCCCUCCUAAGGGACAGGUCGGUGGUUCGAUUCCGCUUCGGGGCGCCA